rnacentral:rRNA from 1 species
UGGGGAAUCUUCCACAAUGGGCGAAAGCCUGAUGGAGCAACGCCGCGUGUGUGAUGAAGGGUUUCGGCUCGUAAAACACUGUUGUAAGAGAAGAAUGACAUUGAGAGUAACUGUUCAAUGUGUGACGGUAUCUUACCAGAAAGGAACGGCUAAAUACGUACCAG